ACGGGAGGCAGCAGUGGGGAAUAUUGCACAAUGGGGGAAACCCUGAUGUAGCGACGCCGCGUGAGUGAAGAAGUAUUUCGGUAUGUAAAGCUCUAUCAGCAGGGAAGAUAAUGACGGUACCUGACUAAGAAGCCCCGGCUAACUACGUGCCAGCAGCCGCGGUAAUACGUAGGGGGCAAGCGUUAUCCGGAUUUACUGGGUGUAAAGGGAGCGCAGACGGCCAUGCAAGUCUGAAGUGAAAUCCACGGGCUCAACCCGUGAACUGCUUUGGAAACUGUAAGGCUAGAGUGCAGGAGAGGUAAGUGGAAUUCCUAGUGUAGCGGUGAAAUGCGUAGAUAUUAGGAGGAACACCAGUGGCGAAGGCGGCUUACUGGACUGUAACUGACGUUGAGGCUCGAAAGCGUGGGGAGCAAACAGGAUUAGAUACCCUGGUA
rnacentral:rRNA from 1 species